UACAUAUUUUGUUGAGAAGAUAUUAACAAAAGUUGUUCGCCUUGAUAAGGGCUACAACUUUUCUUAAUAUCCUCUUAACAAAUUACGCGUAUUUAAGGAAAUAGCUGUGCGCAUGCGCAGAACGUAACACCUUACGCUUGCAUAUUUUGUUGAGAAGAUAUUAACAAAAGUUGUUCGUCUUGAUGAGUGCGACAACUUUGCUUAAUAUCCUCUUAACAAAUUACGCG